rnacentral:rRNA from 1 species
GACGAACGCUGGCGGCGUGCCUAACACAUGCAAGUCGAACGGAGCAGAUCCCUUCGGGGGUUUGCUUAGUGGCGAACGGGUGAGUAACGCGUGAGGAACCUGCCUUUCAGUGGGGGACAACAGUUGGAAACGACUGCUAGUACCGCAUAAUGCUUUUGAGCGGCAUCGCUUGAAAGCCAAAGAUUUAUCGCUGAAAGAUGGUCUCGCGUCUGAUUAGCUAGUUGGUGAGGUAACGGCUCACCAAGGCGACGAUCAGUAGCCGGUCUGAGAGGAAGGUCCCCCACAUUGGUACUGAGACACGGACCAA